UUUUUUUUUGAGAAGAAACGAGAGAAAAUAUAUAAAAAGAGGGCAAAACAAGGAAAGAAAAGGACAGCCAAGGGGACAAGAUAACCACCAGGCGCAGGGAAAAAGCCAGGAGAAAACCCCUGAACUAGAAAAAAACUAACUAGAAAAACAAGAAAGGCUACGCCAAAUCAAAAGACAGCUGCCACCAAAUCCCUAGCAAUUGAAAGAG
rnacentral:lncRNA from 1 species